rnacentral:rRNA from 1 species
UACGGGGGGAGCAAGCGUUGUUCGGAUUUACUGGGCGUAAAGGGCGCGUAGGCGGCCUCCGCAAGUCAGUUGUGAAAUCUCCGAGCUUAACUCGGAAAGGUCAACUGAUACUGCGGGGCUAGAGUGCGGAAGGGGCAACUGGAAUUCUUGGUGUAGCGGUGAAAUGCGUAGAUAUCAAGAGGAACGCCUGCGGCGAAGGCGGGUUGCUGGGCCGACACUGACGCUGAGGCGCGAAAGCUAGGGGAGCGAACGGG